UGUGGUUUAAUUCGAAGCAACGCGAAGAACCUUACCAGGUCUUGACAUCCCUGACAACCCGAGAGAUCGGGCGUUCCCCUUCGGGGGGACAGGGUGACAGGUGGUGGCAUGGUUGUCGUCAGCUCGUGUCGUGAGAUGUUGGGUUAAGUCCCGCAACGAGCGCAACCCUCGACCUUAGUUGCCAGCAUUCAGUUGGGCACUCUAAGGUGACUGCGGCUAAAAGUCGGAGAAGUGGGGAUGACGUCAAAUCAUCAUGCCCCUUAUGACCUGGGCUACACACGUGCUACAAUGGGCGGUACAAAGGGUCGCGAACCCGCGAGGGGGAGCCAAUCCCAAAAAGCCGCUCUCAGUUCGGAUUGCAGGCUGCAACUCGCCUGCAUGAAGCCGGAAUCGCUAGUAAUCGCGGAUCAGCAUGCCGCGGUCGAAUACGUUCCCGGGCCUU
rnacentral:rRNA from 1 species